rnacentral:rRNA from 1 species
AAAGGAAUUGACGGGGGCCCGCACAAGCGGCGGAGCAUGCGGAUUAAUUCGAUGCAACGCGAAGAACCUUACCAAGGCUUGACAUAUACCUGAAAAGGCUGGAAACAGUCUCCCCGCAAGGCAGGUAUACAGGUGGUGCAUGGUUGUCGUCAGCUCGUGUCGUGAGAUGUUGGGUUAAGUCCCGCAACGAGCGCAACCCUCGUUCUAUGUUGCCAGCACGUAAUGGUGGGAACUCAUAGGAGACUGCCGGGGUCAACUCGGAGGAAGGUGGGGAUGACGUCAAAUCAUCAUGCCCCUUAUGUCUUGGGCUUCACGCAUGCUACAAUGGCCGGUACAAAGGGCUGCAAUACCGUAAGGUGGAGCGAAUCCCAAAAAGCCGGUCUCAGUUCGGAUUGAGGUCUGCAACUCGACCUCAUGAAGUCGGAGUCGCUAGUAAUCGCAGAUCAGCAACGCUGCGGUGAAUACGUUCCCGGGCCUUGUACACACCGCCCGU